UACGAAGGGGGCUAGCGUUGCUCGGAAUUACUGGGCGUAAAGGGCGCGUAGGCGGAUAGUUUAGUCAGAGGUGAAAGCCCAGGGCUCAACCUUGGAAUUGCCUUUUGAUACUGGCUGUCUUGAGUACGGGAGAGGUGAGUGGAACUCCGAGUGUAGAGGUGAAAAUUCGUAGAUAUUCGGAAGAACACCGGUGGCGAAGGCGGCUCACUGGCCCGUAACUGACGCUCAUGCACGACAGCGUGGGGAUCAAACAGG
rnacentral:rRNA from 1 species